UUAUGUUUUCUGAUAAAACUUCUUGUCUUGAACAAUGAAGAAUAAUGAAUUGACGUUGCAUAGAAAUGCCAUUUGUAGUUUUCAGCAACACAUACCAUCCAGUAGAUACAAAAAAAUACGUUAUUCAGACAUAUUUUUCAACUGACUACGAUUAACUACAAGUAACUACAAUUAACUACAAAAUUCAUAUAACUACAAAAAUUUGACUACAUUUUAAAAACACACUGGAAACACUGCAUAUAACCUUAACUACAUUUACCUACAUUUGACUACAUUUUAAA
rnacentral:lncRNA from 1 species